GUAUGGGAAAUGUAGGUGACAGUGUAGGGAACGAAAGGUUGACGUAUGGGAAAUGUAGUUGACAAUGUAGUAAACGAAAGGUUGACGUAUGGGAAAUGUAGUUGACAGUGUAGGGAACGAAAGGUUGACGUAUGGGAAAUGUAGUUGACAGUGUAGGGAACGAAAGGUUGACGUAUGGGAAAUGUAGUUGACAGUGUAGGGAACGGAAGGUUGACGUAUGGGAAAUGUAGUUGACAGUGUAGGGAACGAAAGGUUGACGUAUGGGAAAUGUAGUUGACAGUGUAGGGAACGAAAGGUUGACGUAUGGGAAAUGUAGUUGACAGUGUAGGGAACGAAAGGUUGACGUAUGGGAAAUGUAGUUGACAGUGUAGGGAACGAAAGGUUGACGUAUGGGAAAUGUAGUUGACAGUGUAGGGAACGAAAUGUUGACGAAUGGGAAAUGUAGCUGACAGUGUAGCGAACGAAAGGUUGACGUAUGGGAAAUGUAGUUGACAGUGUAGGGAACGAAAGGUUGACGUAUGGGAACUGUAGUUGACAGUGUAGGGAACGGAAGGUUGACGUAUGGGAAAUGUAGGAAGGAAAAUGUGAACCCUAAUAAAACGCAGGGAACAAAUUAUGGAAGGAAAAGCCGAUCGUAUGAGAUAUAUACUAUUUAGGAAACAAUGUAGAGAACGAAAUGGUGAGCGCAGUACAAAUGUAGGGAAACAUACUUCUAGUGUUUAUCGUUUUGACUCCGGUUACUGGAAACACGGAUUACCCAAACGCCGGGUAUCGGAUUUAGUGUUCAUGGGAAUAGCUAACUUCGAAUAGCCGGAGUUGAAUUUGUAAACUUUGUUUUAGUUUCCAUAGUCGAACGUUGGUACCAGAUAGAAUUGGGAACACGAAAACGACACAUACUUAUUGAAGCGAGUUAAGACUUCCCUGAUUGCUGGUUACGUUUAAAUGUGUCCCUGAACACGUGUUGACGCCGUGGAUAGAAAGUGCUCCGUAGUGCUGAAUCUCACCACAUCCCUUGCCCCACGGUACAGUGCAUGGUCAUAUACGGAACCAAUCUUUGGUAAAACAACUCGGCUCCACAGGCUACUUCAGCAUCUUACAGAUCAACAAUACAGGUAUGUGAUAGAAUGUAAGUAUGAUGUGAAAGAAUGCGGAAGUGAAAUUUUCAUUGAAAACAUUCAUUAUGGAAAUAGUUAUGACCAUUAAAAUUGAUAUUAAUUGUAUACAGAGAAAAAACAAUGUUCGACUUACUCCGAUAUACAGUCGUACUGUCGUUAAGUCCAUUAAAAACCUUUGUCUUUCAACGUAGUUGCACCGUAUGUUUGUCACCCUUACAUUACCGAAAGGAUUAUCACGAUGACCGGUGUACAAUACCAUCGGAAAUUGGCAAACUAGUUUGACAAAAGACAACGUCAUCACAACCCAAUUUCGUAAAAGAGAAUACGUCAUAGCAUAAUGUAUUAACAUAAUAGUACAUCGUAAUAUCCGCUAUGACCAUGACUGAUUCACCAAACCUAUUGGACAUUACCAAACGAUGCAAUCUGCGCGGUGGUUAAGGUAUCUUUGUGCCCUAUACCUUUUUUUGAUAAAGAUCAGCCUCCAGGAUCGCGUCGACUUACAUGCACUGUUUGUCCUUCGAUCCACGGAAGUUCAAACUCCGAUGAAUUCAUAUCUCUUAAGCCAUGUCUUACAUUUUUGUAAAUCACAGUUUCAUACCCGGAUGGGUGCAUUACGUAGUUUAAUUUAGACUGACAGUGAUACAACGUGACGCGGAAUACGAUAACAUGAGCGAUGUGUACACCAGCUACUCAGCUUUUGCAGUUUCGUUAACAAUACAUACAUUCAAAUAAUAGCAGGCGAAAAAUGCCUCCUACGAACAAGCUCCGUAGAUCGGCCACGAUGACAGCGUGCUGUGCUACAUGUACGUCAAAUACAGUACAUGGAUGAUAGGAAACACGUCACGGGAGGGAUGAGCAUGUGGUGAUUACAAGUGUCCGUCAUUGAUCAAUUGGCCGAUCACAGAAAGGUGAUUAGAAAGAUGAUACCAAGAUACAUUCAAAGCUGGCUGUGGUCUGUCACUACAGUUUCAUACUCAUAUCUUCGUUUUGGUCGGAUGAGUCAUAUCGAGGAUUUCUUAAAGGCGUAUGCAGUUAAAUUCUCUGACUAAUCCCAAUGCAUACUUAAAUGAUAAGAUUAAAGGGUCAAAAUGAUUAAAAACUCAUUACUGUAUUUAUUAUGAUAAUGAAGGGUUGUCCCCGGGAAUCAGGAAGUCAUCCGUCUGUGUUUGUUUUACUAUAAGAAAACGGUCACGUGAUAAAACGUAUGAGCGUCAGAUUGUGUUGUUCACACACCUUCGAAUGUCAGUUUCGGGUCAUCUCACCGGUACACCGUGUAGACGUCUCUAACUGUAAUCAGCUGUUAUAUCGUUUGAUUAUAUAUACGGUUACAGCUGACUUGGCCAGCUUCUUGCAUAAUCGUUGUACAGCUAGUAUAUUACCGAUGCGACGUUAAAUACUCGCUCACUCACUCACUCACUCACUCACUCACUCACUCACUCAACAAACCUAAAAAGUAAGGUUGUACUUAUUAAUGUGUAACUGAAAAUGGAAAGUAGACUAAAAUACGCUACACUGUGUCGGUAGGGCGGUAGGAUAGUGGUUAAAGUAUGCUGGAAACCACAGACCCUAGAACAUUACCUAUGUCCUGAUAUUGCAAUAAUAUUGCUAAAAUGGCUUAAAUCCAACUCUUUCACUAAUACUUGGUUUGUUUAAAACAAGUAGUAUUAUAAAACUGGAAUCUGUGAUAAGAUGCUGAAGGAGCCCCAAGGACACGUGACAAUACACAAAGAACAAUAUAAAACGUGCUGUUAUGUACAUAUGUUGGUCGCCCUGCUGCCUUCGAGAG